GACAGAGGCCUCAAGCGUUGUCCGGAAUCAUUGGGCGUAAAGCGCGUGUAGGCGGUUCGGUAAGUCUGCUGUGAAAGUCCAGGGCUCAACCCUGGGAUGCCGGUGGAUACUGUCGGACUAGAGUACGGAAGAGGCGAGUGGAAUUCCCGGUGUAGCGGUGAAAUGCGCAGAUAUCGGGAGGAACACCAAUUGCGAAGGCAGCUCGCUGGGACGUCACUGACGCUGAGACGCGAAAGCAUGGGGAGCGAACAGG
rnacentral:rRNA from 1 species